rnacentral:rRNA from 1 species
CUUGACGGCAACGUAAAUGAAGUUGGAGACGCUGGCAGGGGCCCUGGGAAGAGUUCUCUUUUCUCCUUAACCGUCUACAACCCUGAAAUCGGAUUAUCCGGAGCUAGGGUUCAAUGGCGGGUAGAGCCUAUCACUUUUGAUAGGUCCGGUGCGUUCCUGACAGUCCUUGAAAAUCCAACGGAACACUUAAUUUUCACGCCUGGUCGUACUCAUAACCGCAGCAGGUCUCCAAGGUGAACAGCCUCUAGUUGAUAGAACAAUGUAGAUAAGGGAAGUCGGCAAAAUGGAUCCGUAACUUCGGGAUAAGGAUUGGCUCUAAGGGUCGGGCUCGCUGGGCCUUGGGGGGAACCUCCUGGAGCAGUAGGGCACUAGCCGGGCAACCGGCCGGCGCCCCGCAGCACCGGGUUGGGGACGCCCUUGGCAGGCUUCGGCCGUCCGGCGGGCGAUUAACGACCAACUUAGAACUGGUACGGACAAGGGGAAUCUGACUGUCUAAUUAAAAC